rnacentral:rRNA from 1 species
GUCCACGCCUUAAACUAUGGAUACUAAGUGUCGGCGGUUUACCGCCGGUGCCGCAGCUAACGCAAUAAGUAUCCCGCCUGGGAAGUACGGCCGCAAGGUUGAAACUCAAAGGAAUUGACGGGGGCCCGCACAAGCGGUGGAGCAUGUGGUUUAAUUCGACGCAACGCGAAGAACCUUACCCAGGCUGGACAUGCAGGUAGUAGAAGGGUGAAAGCCCAACGAGGUAGAAAUACCAUCCUGCUCAGGUGCUGCAUGGCUGUCGU